CUGAAUAUGGGGGGACCAUCCUCCAAGGCUAAAUACUCCUGACUGACCGAUAGUGAACCAGUACCGUGAGGGAAAGGCGAAAAGAACCCCUGUGAGGGGAGUGAAAUAGAACCUGAAACCGUGUACGUACAAGCAGUAGGAGCACCUUCGUGGUGUGACUGCGUACCUUUUGUAUAAUGGGUCAGCGACUUAUAUUCAGUGGCAAGGUUAACCGUAUAGGGGAGCCGUAGCGAAAGCGAGUCUUAACUGGGCGCUCAGUCUCUGGAUAUAGACCCGAAACCGGGUGAUCUAGCCAUGGGCAGGUUGAAGGUUGAGUAACAUCAACUGGAGGACCGAACCGACUAAUGUUGAAAAAUUAGCGGAUGACUUGUGGCUAGGGGUGAAAGGCCAAUCAAACUCGGAGAUAGCUGGUUCUCCCCGAAAGCUAUUUAGGUAGCGCCUCGGACGAAUACUACUGGGGGUAGAGCACUGUUAAGGCUAGGGGGUCAUCCCGACUUACCAACCCUUUGCAAACUCCGAAUACCAGUAAGUACUAUCCGGGAGACACACGGCGGGUGCUAACGUCCGUCGUGGAGAGGGAAACAACCCAGACCGCCAGCUAAGGUCCCAAAGUAUUGCUAAGUGGGAAACGAUGUGGGAAGGCUCAGACAGCUAGGAUGUUGGCUUAGAAGCAGCCAUCAUUUAAAGAAAGCGUAAUAGCUCACUAGUCGAGUCGGCCUGCGCGGAAGAUGUAACGGGGCUAAGCAAUACACCGAAGCUGCGGCAAUGUCUUUUAGACAUUGGGUAGGGGAGCGUUCUGUAAGCCGUUGAAGGUGAAUCGUAAGGUUUGCUGGAGGUAUCAGAAGUGCGAAUGCUGACAUGAGUAACGACAAAGGGGGUGAAAAACCUCCUCGCCGGAAGACCAAGGGUUCCUGUCCAACGUUAAUCGGGGCAGGGUGAGUCGACCCCUAAGGUGAGGCCGAAAGGCGUAAUCGAUGGGAAACGGGUUAAUAUUCCCGUACUUCUGACUAUUGCGAUGGGGGGACGGAGAAGGCUAGGUGGGCCAGGCGACGGUUGUCCUGGUUCAAGUGCGUAGGCUUGAGAGUUAGGUAAAUCCGGCUCUCUCUAAGGCUGAGACACGACGUCGAGCUACUACGGUAGUGAAGUCAUUGAUGCCAUGCUUCCAGGAAAAGCCUCUAAGCUUCAGAUAGUCAGGAAUCGUACCCCAAACCGACACAGGUGGUCGGGUAGAGAAUACCAAGGCGCUUGAGAGAACUCGGGUGAAGGAACUAGGCAAAAUGGUACCGUAACUUCGGGAGAAGGUACGCUCUUGAUGGUGAAGUCCCUCGCGGAUGGAGCUGACGAGAGUCGCAGAUACCAGGUGGCUGCAACUGUUUAUUAAAAACACAGCACUGUGCAAAAUCGCAAGAUGACGUAUACGGUGUGACGCCUGCCCGGUGCCGGAAGGUUAAUUGAUGGGGUUAGCGCAAGCGAAGCUCUUGAUCGAAGCCCCGGUAAACGGCGGCCGUAACUAUAACGGUCCUAAGGUAGCGAAAUUCCUUGUCGGGUAAGUUCCGACCUGCACGAAUGGCGUAAUGAUGGCCACGCUGUCUCCACCCGAGACUCAGUGAAAUUGAAAUCGCUGUGAAGAUGCAGUGUACCCGCGGCUAGACGGAAAGACCCCGUGAACCUUUACUACAGCUUGGCACUGAACAUUGAACCUACAUGUGUAGGAUAGGUGGGAGGCUAUGAAGACGUGACGCCAGUUGCGUUGGAGCCGUCCUUGAAAUACCACCCUUGUAUGU
rnacentral:rRNA from 1 species